UACAGAGGUCUCAAGCGUUGUUCGGAUUCAUUGGGCGUAAAGGGUGCGUAGGCGGCGCGGUAAGUCGGGUGUGAAAUCUUGGAGCUUAACUCCGAAACUGCAUUCGAUACCGCCGUGCUUGAGGACUGGAGAGGAGACUGGAAUUUACGGUGUAGCGGUGAAAUGCGUAGAUAUCGUAAGGAAGACCAGUGGCGAAGGCGGGUCUCUGGACAGUUCCUGACGCUGAGGCACGAAGGCCAGGGGAGCAAACGGG
rnacentral:rRNA from 1 species